GGGUUGAAGCAUGACCGUAAGGACAUGUGGACAGUAUGGGAGUGAGAAUGUUGGCAUGAGUAGCGAGAUGUGGGUGAGAAUCCCACAGGCCGUAAACCCAAGGUUUCCAGGGGAAGGUUCGUCCGCCCUGGGUUAGUCGGGACCUAAGCUGAGGCCGAAAGGCGUAGGUGAUGGACAACAGGUUGAUAUUCCUGUACUACCGAUAACCGUUUGAGAGAAGGGAUGACACAGUAGGAUAAGCUAAGCACACUGUUGGUUAUGUGUGCCCAAGCAUUGAGGCAGUCAAAGUAGGCAAAUCCGCUUUGAUAAUGCUGGGAUGUGAUGGGGAGCGAAAUUUAGUAGCGAAGUAGCUGAUUUCACACUGUCAAGAAAAGUCUCUAUCGAGGUUAAAGGUACCCGUACCGCAAACCGACACAGGUGGGUGAGGAGAGUAUCCUAAGGCCAGCGAGAGAACUGUUGUUAAGGAACUCGGCAAAAUGACCCCGUAACUUAGGGAUAAGGGGUGCCACCAUCAGGUGGCCGCAGAGAAUAGGCCCAAGCGACUGUUUACCAAAAACAUAGGUUUCUGCUAAGUCGCAAGACGAUGUAUAGGAGCUGACGCCUGCCCGGUGCUGGAAGGUUAAGGGGAUCUGUUAGAGCAAUCGAAGCAGUGAACUUAAGCCCCAGUAAACGGCGGCCGUAACUAUAACGGUCCUAAGGUAGCGAAAUUCCUUGUCGGGUAAGUUCCGACCCGCACGAAAGGCGUAACGAUUUGGGCACUGUCUCAACAACAGACUCGGUGAAAUUGUAAUUCCGGUGAAGAUGCCGGAUACCUGCGACAGGACGGAAAGACCCCAUGGAGCUUUACUGUAGCUUGACAUUGGGUCUUGGUACUACAUGUACAGGAUAGGUGGGAGGCUUUGAAACCAGGACGCCAGUUUUGGCGGAGCCAUCCUUGGGAUACCACCCUUGUAGUACUGGGACUCUAACCAUAGGCCAUGAAUCUGGUCUUGGGACACUGUCAGGUGGGCAGUUUGACUGGGGCGGUCGCCUCCCAAAAGGUAACGGAGGCGCUCAAAGGUUCUCUCAGUACGGUCGGAAAUCGUACGUAGAGUGUAAAGGCAAAAGAGAGCUUGAUUGCAAGACAUACAGGUCGAGCAAGGAUGAAAAUCGGACUUAGUGAUCCGGUGGUUCUGCGUGGAAGGGCCAUCGCUCAACGGAUAAAAGCUACCCUGGGGAUAACAGGCUUAUCUCCCCCAAGAGUCCACAUCGACGGGGAGGUUUGGCACCUCGAUGUCGGCUCAUCACAUCCUGGGGCUGUAGUAGGUCCCAAGGGUUGGGCUGUUCGCCCAUUAAAGUGGUACGCGAGCUGGGUUCAGAACGUCGUGAGACAGUUCGGUCCCUAUCCGUCGCAGGCGUAGGAAAUUUGAGAAGACCUGUCCUUAGUCUGUCUCUUAUACACAUCUCCGAGCCCACGAGACAAGAGGCAAUCUCGUAU
rnacentral:rRNA from 1 species